rnacentral:rRNA from 1 species
GGGUCAGUAGGUUGGUCGUGCCACCGGUACGUACUGGUCUCACUGAUUCCUCCUUCCUGAAGCACCGUAAUGCCAUUAAUUUGGUGUUGCGGGGAAACAGGACUGUUACUUUGAAAAAAUUAGAGUGUUUAAAGCAAGCUAACGCUUGAAUACAUUAGCAUGGAAUAAUGAAAUAGGACGAUCGAUCCUAUUUUGUUGGCUUCUAGGAUUGACGUA